rnacentral:tRNA from 11 species
GCCGGGGUGGCGGAAUGGCAGACGCACCUGACUCAAAAUCAGGCGGGUAACACCGUGAGGGUUCAAGUCCCUCCCUCGGCACCA